GCCUGGCUUGGAGGUGCACGCCUGUAAUCCCAGUGGCUCAGGAGGCUGAGGCAGGAGGAUCUCGAGUUCAAAGGCAGCCUCAGAAAAGGCAAGGUGUUAAGCAAUCCAGUGAGACUCUUGUCUCUA
rnacentral:sRNA from 1 species